rnacentral:rRNA from 1 species
GACGAACGCUGGCGGCGUGCCUAAUACAUGCAAGUAGAACGCACAGUUUAUACCGUAGCUUGCUACACCAUAGACUGUGAGUUGCGAACGGGUGAGUAACGCGUAGGUAACCUGCCUGGUAGCGGGGGAUAACUAUUGGAAACGAUAGCUAAUACCGCAUAAUAUUAAUUAUUGCAUGAUAAUUAAUUGAAAGGUGCAAUUGCACCACUACCAGAUGGACCUGCGUUGUAUUAGCUAGUAGGUGAGGUAACGGCUCACCUAGGCGACGAUACAUAGCCGACCUGAGAGGGUGAUCGGCCACACUGGGACUGAGACACGGCCCAGACUCCUACGGGAGGCAGCAGUAGGGAAUCUUCGGCAAUGAACGAAAGUCUGACCGAGCAACGCCGCGUGAGUGAAGAAGGUUUUCGGAUCGUAAAGCUCUGUUGCAAGAGAAGAACGGGUGUGAGAGUGGAAAGUUCACACUGUGACGGUAUCUUACCAGAAAGGGACGGCUAACUACGUG